GGGGACACCAACCUAAAGUAACAAUCUUUGUUGAUGCUUGCUCAGAUCAGGUGGACCAAAACAGCAGGAAGCGCCUCUGACAGAUUCCAAGACUCAAGUGUCUUCAACGAGACGUUGAGGAUCACAAACAUCCAGAGGCACCAAGGAGGCCGAUAUUACUGUAAAGCUGAGAAUGGCUUGGGGUCCCCAGCAAUAAAGUCAAUCCGAGUGGAUGUGUACUAUUUGGAUGAUCCAGUAGUAACUGUACAUCAAAGUAUAGGUGAAGCUAAAGAACAGUUUUACUAUGAGAGAACAGUGUUUCUCCGGUGUGUGGCCAAUUCCAAUCCCCCUGUGCGCUACAGCUGGAGACGUGGCCAAGAGGUGUUGCUACAAGGAUCUGACAAAGGAGUAGAGAUUUAUGAGCCCUUCUUCACCCAGGGUGAAACAAAGAUCUUAAAACUAAAGAAUCUUCGACCUCAGGACUAUGCUAACUACAGCUGCAUAGCUUCGGUGAGGAAUGUGUGUAAUAUUCCUGACAAGAUGGUGUCCUUUAGACUUUCCAAUAAAACAGCAUCUCCGUCAAUUAAGCUCUUGGUGGAUGAUCCUAUAGUUGUCAAUCCUGGAGAGGCCAUAACAUUAGUGUGUGUUACGACAGGAGGAGAGCCUAUGCCCUCUCUCACUUGGGUAAGGUCCUUUGGGACUCUGCCUGAAAAGAUUGUUUUAAAUGGAGGGACGUUGACCAUACCUGCCAUCACCUCAGAUGAUGCUGGUACCUACAGCUGCAUUGCCAAUAAUAAUGUGGGAAACCCUGCAAAAAAGUCCACCAACAUCAUUGUGAGAGCAUUAAAAAAAGGACGAUUUUGGAUCACUCCUGAUCCAUAUCACAAAGAUGACAACAUCCAGAUUGGGCGUGAGGUGAAAAUAUCUUGCCAAGUAGAAGCUGUUCCAUCUGAGGAGUUAACAUUUAGUUGGUUUAAAAAUGGUCGUCCAUUGAGAAGUUCUGAGCGAAUGGUUAUUACACAGACUGACCCAGAUGUGUCCCCUGGAACAACAAACUUGGAUAUCAUUGACUUAAAAUUUACGGACUUCGGGACUUAUACAUGUGUGGCCUCUCUGAAGGGAGGAGGAAUAUCUGACAUCAGUAUCGAUGUUAACAUUUCCAGCAGUACAGUUCCACCCAAUCUGACUGUUCCACAGGAAAAAUCACCUUUGGUCACCAGAGAAGGAGACACAAUAGAACUUCAGUGUCAAGUAACUGGGAAACCUAAACCAAUCAUCCUUUGGUCUAGAGCGGAUAAAGAAGUCGCAAUGCCUGAUGGGACAAUGCAAAUGGAGAGUUAUGAUGGGACACUCAGGAUUGUGAACGUGUCAAGGGAAAUGUCAGGAAUGUACAGAUGUCAGACCAGUCAGUACAAUGGAUUCAAUGUGAAGCCAAGAGAAGCCUUGGUGCAGCUCAUCGUGCAGUAUCCCCCAGCUGUGGAACCAGCAUUCUUGGAAAUCCGACAAGGACAGGACAGAAGUGUGACCAUGAGCUGCAGGGUCCUGAGAGCCUAUCCAAUAAGAGUGCUGACCUAUGAGUGGCGUCUUGGCAAUAAAUUACUACGGACUGGUCAGUUUGACUCCCAGGAGUAUACCGAGUACCCAGUAAAGAGUCUUUCCAAUGAGAACUAUGGUGUUUAUAACUGUAGCAUCAUAAACGAAGCUGGAGCAGGGAGAUGCAGCUUCCUUGUUACAGGGAAGGCCUACGCCCCAGAGUUUUACUAUGACACCUACAACCCUGUGUGGCAGAACCGACACCGAGUGUAUUCGUACAGCCUACAAUGGACACAAAUGAAUCCUGAUGCAGUGGAUCGGAUUGUUGCAUACCGCUUGGGUAUUCGGCAGGCUGGACAGCAACGUUGGUGGGAACAAGAGAUUAAAAUAAAUGGUAAUAUUCAAAAAGGAGAACUAAUUACAUAUAACUUGACUGAACUAAUUAAACCAGAGGCCUAUGAAGUCCGACUGACUCCUCUCACUAAAUUUGGUGAGGGAGAUUCAACAAUUCGUGUAAUUAAAUAUACUGCACCUGUAAAUCCUCAUUUGAGAGAAUUUCACUGUGGAUUUGAAGAUGGUAAUAUUUGUUUGUUCACCCAAGAUGAUACAGAUAAUUUUGAUUGGACAAAGCAAAGUACUGCAACAAGAAAUACAAAAUACACCCCUAACACGGGGCCCAAUGCAGAUCGCAGUGGUUCCAAAGAAGGUUUUUAUAUGUAUAUUGAGACAUCUAGACCCAGACUAGAAGGCGAAAAGGCUCGACUUCUCAGCCCUGUAUUCAGCAUAGCUCCCAAAAAUCCAUAUGGACCUACGAACACCGCAUAUUGUUUCAGUUUUUUCUAUCACAUGUAUGGGCAGCAUAUAGGUGUUUUAAAUGUGUAUCUGCGGUUGAAAGGACAGACCACGAUAGAGAAUCCUCUAUGGUCUUCAAGUGGGAACAAAGGACAACGAUGGAAUGAAGCUCAUGUUAAUAUAUAUCCAAUUACUUCAUUUCAGCUAAUUUUUGAAGGCAUUCGAGGUCCUGGGAUAGAAGGUGACAUCGCUAUCGAUGACGUGUCAGUGGCUGAAGGAGAAUGUGCAAAACAAGACCUACCAACUAAGAAUUCGGUGGAUGGUGCUGUUGGGAUCUUAGUUCAUAUAUGGCUUUUUCCAGUUAUCCUCCUCAUCUCUAUCUUAAGUCCUCGAAGGUGACCUUAUCCUGGCAGAGGCUAUAAAUGAUUCACCAGGCACUGGCAUGAAGAAAGAGUCUUUGUACAUGGACACUGAAGCAAACAAACAAACAAACAAACUACCAAAGAUUCCUCCACUGACUACUGACUCAAAAAUUAAAUAAUUAAAAACAACAUUUUUUAAGCACUGGGGAUAAAAAGACAUCACGGAAAUAUAACUUAUUCCAAACUACAUAGAGAAGAGAAUCUUGGCCUGGGUACAAAAGAGACCUUCAGGUGCUUUUGUGGCUAAAUGAUUACAGCUUCAUCUGGUUGAACUCUGGAAAAAGAAAAAGAGAAAAAAGAAAGAAAAAGAAGAAAAAAAAAAGAGCUAUAGAAAUCCUCGUCAAAGCACAAAGUCAUGGCUGGUUUUGUUUCAAAUGAAUAGUUUGCUUGUUACCAUGGAAACCUAAUGGCCUGCCAACAAAAACCUCACUGUAAACAGGGCUUAUCGGAGUUUGCUUGCGGCCACUUGAACACCCAAACUACGUCAUCUGUUCCUAUGAAGAAACCAAACCACCAUCUUUUAUAAAUUGCCAUGGAAACCAAGUGCCUUCAAUGAAACAAGCCUGAAUAAUUUUCAACUCAGAAGCUUGCACUGCUAACAAUGGUUUGUGUAAAAACUAUUUUGUAAACAGACGACACAGCCUAAGUGUGCAAAUUACAGGCAAGACACCCUAGCCGCUUCUGAAGAAGAAAGGACCCACGCUGCUGCGUAAACCCAUGUAGACAAAAGAGUAUUCGCUUCACCUCCUAGACAGCCAUGGCCUUUCGGCGUAGUGUCCAUAGAGAGUAACUUCCACUGAGACCAGACAUGGGAGCAACACUUUUUUCUUCCAGGUUAUUAAAUGGGUCAACCAGAGCAAAAGGUUGUUGAGAUAAUACUUAGCUCAGAAGGUGGUCAAACACAGGAGUGAUUUUUUUUUACUCUAACCUCCAUUUGAAAUGAAAUUGGCCCUGCCUUUAGAGGGAACAAGGAAGUGUUUGAGAUUGCAUACGAACUCUGCCGCGGAACUGGGCCUGCAAAAGCUGGCUUUAUUCUAGACAUUGAGGGUAAUAUGCCUCUGCCCUUUAGUCUGACUCUGUGCAAAUUGUGACAUAUUAUUUUAUUAUUUUAACAAGAUUAAAAAACACUUUUACAAAAAAACAAAAACCUGUAAAAAUGAUUUUGAGCUACCUGAGGACAAACCACACCUUUAACCAGCCAGUUUUCCAAUGCAUUGUAAAUUUCACUCAAACUUGUUGCUUAUGACAAUUUGAAGAUCUUUUUCCUUAAAUUAUCUCAACUUUUAGCUUCAUUUAAAAAGACUUUUGUCUAAAGAAGAAUAUUAUUAUUAUCUGUUCUUUCAACACCCCAGGAUUUAAAAAAUACUGAUUAUGCAAGUAAUUGGGAUCUAAGUAUUAAAUUGCAGCAUUUGCAAAUAUUAAUAUAAAAAGCACAACAAAAUGUAGUGGAAAUGACAAAGCUUGAUUUUUUUAAACAACUGUAGAAAUGUUUGUGCAAAUUCAAUAAUUCAACUCAAAAUAUAAUUUUACAGCUCUGUUCAAUAAAGCCUCUUUCCAGGUAAGGUAUAAUAAGCAGUGUGUGUGUUUGUUGGGCAAUAUUCACUUAUCAUUAAAAUGAGAUUAGUUAUGCAGCUUAUUGGUUAUGUUAUCUUGGGAUAAAUCUUCAGUGCUUCAUACACACCUUAUGUCUCUAGGGAAAAUUUAAUAAGAACAGCUGAUGCACUCUCCUUUAUAUGUUACACAUGUAAAAAAAAAUUGUACCUUUAAUAGGUAAAAUAUGAGCCAAAUACAAGCUGAAAUUUAAUGUAUAAUUUCAUAGUCAGUUCAAACGGGGACAUAUCAGAAUACAUAGGUAGUGAUAGAAUCAAGUUAAUGCACAUCCUUUAAUUUUAACAAAAAAGCAAAUGAUUAUCAUAAUUUAUUUGAAUUAAUUAGUCAUAUUGAAAACUUUUUAAAACUUCAAAGUCAUCCAUUUAUUAGAUCAAACCAAAGAUUUCAAGUAAGUGAUAUCUGGGCCACUUAGUAUCUGAGAAAUCUGUAUUCACCUCUAUUUCAACCAUAUUGCAACUAAAUGCAUCUCUGCACUGCCCACUAUUCAUAAAAAUACAAUUGCAUUUUAUCUUAUUUGUUAGGUUUUGCUUCUGGCAUUAUCUUUGCCAGAACAGUAAUAAGUCUCUUUUGAUUUAAAGAGAAGCUUAAUUUGUCAUUUUCUUUCAAUUAUCUUUAAGUUGAUUUGAGUAAGGCU